rnacentral:rRNA from 1 species
UACGGAGGGUGCAAGCGUUAUCCGGAUUUACUGGGUUUAAAGGGCGCGUAGGCGGCAGAUCAAGUCAGCUGUGAAAUCUCCGAGCUUAACUCGGAACUGUCAGCUGAUACUGUUUUGCUAGAGUGCGGAAGGGGCAAUCGGAAUUCUUGGUGUAGCGGUGAAAUGCGUAGAUAUCAAGAGGAACACCUGAGGUGAAGACGGGUUGCUGGGCCGACACUGACGCUGAGUGCGCGAAAGCCAGGGGAGCAAACGGG